rnacentral:rRNA from 1 species
GUAAAUUUCUUCUAAAGCUAAAUAUUGGCCAGAGACCGAUAGCGCACAAGUAGAGUGAUCGAAAGAUGAAAAGCACUUUGAAAAGAGGGUUAAAUAGCACGUGAAAUUGUUGAAAGGGAAGCGUUUGCGACCAGACUUUUUCCUAGCGGAUCAUCCGGUGUUAUCACCGGUGCACUUCGCUAGGUUAAGGCCAGCAUCGGUUUCUGUAGGGGGAUAAAAGCUUGGGGAAUGUAGCUCCCUCGGGAGUGUUAUAGCCCCUCGCAUAAUACCCUUACGGGGACCGAGGACCGCGCUUUUGCAAGGAUGCUGGCGUAAUGGUUGUCAACGACCCGUCUUGAAACACGGACCAAGGAGUCGAACAUUUGUGCGAGUGUUUGGGUGUUAAACCCUCACGCGUAAUGAAAGUGAACGGAGGUGAGAGCCCUUACGGGUGCAUCAUCGACCGAUCCUGAUGUCUUCGGAUGGAUUUGAGUAAGAGCAUAACUGUUCGGACCCGAAAGAUGGUGAACUAUGCGUGGAUAGGGUGAAGCCAGAGGAAACUCUGGUGGAGGCUCGCAGCGGUUCUGACGUGCAAAUCGAUCGUCAAAUCUGCGCAUGGGGGCGAAAGACUUAUCGAACCAUCUAGUAGCUGGUUACCGCCGAAGUUUCCCUCAGGAUAGCAGUGUUGUUCUUCAGUUUUAUGAGGUAAAGCGAAUGAUUAGGGACUCGGGGGCGCUUUUUAGCCUUCAUCCAUUCUCAAACUUUAAAUAUGUAAGAAGCCCUUGUUACUUAAUUGAACGUGGGCAUUCGAAUGUACCAACACUAGUGGGCCAUUUUUGGUAAGCAGAACUGGCGAUGCGGGAUGAACCGAACGCGGGGUUAAGGUGCCUGAGUGGACGCUCAUCAGACACCACAAAAGGUGUUAGCACAUUUAGACAAUAGGACGGUGGCCAUGGAAGUCGGAAUCCGCUAAGGACUGUGUAACAACUCACCUAUCGAAUGUGCUAGCCCUGAAAAUGGAUGGCGCUCAAGCGUCCCACCCAUACCCCGCCCUCAGG